AUUGAACGCUGGCGGCAGGCCUAACACAUGCAAGUCGAACGAGUGGCGGACGGGUGAGUAACGUAUGGGAAACUGCCGGAUGGAGGGGGAUAACUAUUGGAAACGAUAGCUAAUACCGCAUACCAUCAGAGGGGCCCAGAUGGGAUUAGCUUGUUGGCGGGGUAACGGCUCACCAAGGCGACGAUCCUUAGCUGGUCUGAGAGGAUGACAGGCCACACGGGAACUGAUACACGGUCCAGACUCCUACGGGAGGCAGCAGUGGGGAAUAUUGCACAAUGGGCGCAAGCCUGAUGCAGCCAUGCCGCGUGUAUGAAGAAGGCCUUCGGGUUGUAAAGUACUUUCAGCGGGGAGGCGUUACCCGAAGAAGAAGCACCGGCUAACUCCGUGCCAGCAGCCGCGGUAAUAC
rnacentral:rRNA from 1 species